UUAAUUCCUUUAAGUUUUUGUCUGUUGCCGCCCCCGCCCGCCUACGGGAGGCAGCAGUGGGGAAUUUUCCGCAAUGGGCGCAAGCCUGACGGAGCAAGACCGCGUGGGGGAGGAAGGCUCUUGGGUUGUAAACCCCUUUUCUCUGGGAAGAACAAAAUGACGGUACCAGAGGAAUCAGCAUCGGCUAACUCCGUGCCAGCAGCCGCGGUAAGACGGAGGAUGCAAGCGUUAUCCGGAAUGAUUGGGCGUAAAGCGUCCGCAGGUGGCAGUUCAAGUCUGCUGUCAAAGACCGGGGCUUAACUUCGGACAGGCAGUGGAAACUGAACAGCUAGAGUAUGGUAGGGGCAAAGGGAAUUCCUGGUGUAGCGGUGAAAUGCGUAGAGAUCAGGAAGAACCAUCGGUGGCGAAAGCGCUUUGCUGGACCAUAACUGACACUCAGGGACGAAAGCUAGGGGAGCGAAUGGGAUUAGAUACCCCAGUAGUCCUAGCCGUAAACGAUGGAUACUAGGUGUUGUCUGUAUCGAACCCGGACAGUGCCGUAGCUAACGCGCUAAGUAUCCCGCCCCUGGA
rnacentral:rRNA from 1 species